UACAGAGGGUGCAAGCGUUAAUCGGAAUUACUGGGCGUAAAGAGCGUGUAGGCGGCCAGAUAAGUCCGCUGUGAAAUCUCGAGGCUCAACUUCGAGCUGUCGGUGGAAACUAUCUGGCUAGAGUCCGGAAGAGGAGAAUGGAAUUCCUGGUGUAGCGGUGAAAUGCGCAGAUAUCAGGAAGAACACCCGUGGCGAAGGCGGUUCUCUGGGACGGUACUGACGCUGAGACGCGAAAGCGUGGGGAGCGAACAGG
rnacentral:rRNA from 1 species